CUAGUGGUUUUUUUUAAAACCACUUAAAAAAGAAAAUAUUUUAUUU
rfam:Canis lupus familiaris chromosome 1, whole genome shotgun sequence.